rnacentral:rRNA from 1 species
GACGAACGCUGGCGGCGUGCUUAACACAUGCAAGUCGAACGAAGAGCGAUGGAAGCUUGCUUCUAUCAAUCUUAGUGGCGAACGGGUGAGUAACGCGUAAUCAACCUGCCCUUCAGAGGGGGACAGCAGUUGGAAACGACUGCUAAUACCGCAUACGAUCUAACCUCGGCAUCGAGGAUAGAUGAAAGGUGGCCUCUACAUGUAAGCUAUCACUGAAGGAGGGGAUUGCGUCUGAUUAGCUAGUUGGAGGGGUAACGGCCCACCAAGGCGAUGAUCAGUAGCCGGUCUGAGAGGAUGAACGGCCACAUUGGGACUGAGACACGGCCCAGACUCCUACGGGAGGCAGCAGUGGGGAAUCUUCCGCAAUGGACGAAAGUCUGACGGAGCAACGCCGCGUGAGUGAUGACGGCCUUCGGGUUGGAAAGCUCUGUUAAUCGGGACGAAAGGCCUUCUUGCGAAUAGUUAGAAGGAUUGACGGUACCGGAAUAGAAAGCCACGGCUAACUACGUG